UCUUGACGUUAGCAACAGAAGAAGCACCGGCUAACUCCGUGCCAGCAGCCGCGGUAAUACGGAGGGUGCGAGCGUUAAUCGGAAUUACUGGGCGUAAAGCGCAUGCAGGUGGUUCAUUAAGUCAGAUGUGAAAGCCCGGGGCUCAACCUCGGAACUGCAUUUGAAACUGGUGAACUAGAGUGCUGUAGAGGGGGGUAGAAUUUCAGGUGUAGCGGUGAAAUGCGUAGAGAUCUGAAGGAAUACCAGUGGCGAAGGCGGCCCCCUGGACAGACACUGACACUCAGAUGCGAAAGCGUGGGGAGCAAACAGGAUUAGAUACCCUGGUAGUCCACGCCGUAAACGAUGUCUACUUGGAGGUUGUGGCCUUGAGCCGUGGCUUUCGGAGCUAACGCGUUAAGUAGACCGCCUGGGGAGUACGGUCGCAAGAUUAAAACUCAAAUGAAUUGACGGGGGCCCGCACAAGCGGUGGAGCAUGUGGUUUAAUUCGAUGCAACGCGAAGAACCUUACCUACUCUUGACAUCCAGAGAAGCCAGCGGAGACGCAGGUGUGCCUUCGGGA
rnacentral:rRNA from 2 species